AUUGAACGCUGGCGGCAUGCCUUACACAUGCAAGUCGAACGGCAGCACGGGAGCAAUCCUGGUGGCGAGUGGCGAACGGGUGAGUAAUGUAUCGGAACGUGCCCAGUCGUGGGGGAUAACGUAGCGAAAGCUACGCUAAUACCGCAUACGAUCUGUGGAUGAAAGCGGGGGACCGUAAGGCCUCGCGCGAUUGGAGCGGCCGAUAUCAGAUUAGGUAGUUGGUGGGGUAAAGGCCUACCAAGCCGACGAUCUGUAGCUGGUCUGAGAGGACGACCAGCCACACUGGGACUGAGACACGGCCCAGACUCCUACGGGAGGCAGCAGUGGGGAAUUUUGGACAAUGGGCGCAAGCCUGAUCCAGCAAUGCCGCGUGCAGGAUGAAGGCCUUCGGGUUGUAAACUGCUUUUGUACGGAGCGAAAAGGCUCUCUCUAAUACAGGGGGCUCAUGUCGGUACCGUAAGAAUAAGCACCGGCUAACUACGUGCCAGCAGCCGCCGCAG
rnacentral:rRNA from 1 species